AGGUGUCUUGACUAAUGUGUCUUGGCUUAUGUGUCUUGGCUAAGGUGUCUUGGCUAAUGUGUCUUGGCUAAUGUGUCUUGGCUAAUGUGUCUUGGCUAAGGUGUCUUGGCUAAGGUGUCUCGGCUAAUGUGUCUUGGCUAAGGUGUCUUGGCUAAGGUGUCUUGGCUAAUGUGUCUUGGCUAAUGUGUCUUGGCUAAUGUGUCUUGGCUAAGGUGUCUUGGCUAAUGUGUCUUGGCUAAGGUGUCUUGGCUAAUGUGUCUUGGCUAAGGUGUCUUGGCUUUGGUGUCUUGGCUAAGGUGUCUUGGCUAAGGUGUCUUGGCUAAGGUGUCUUGGCUAAUGUGUCUUGGCUAAGGUGUUUUGGCUAAGGUGUCUUGGCUAAUGUGUCUUGGCUAAUGUAUCUUGGCUAAUGUGUCUUGGCUAAUGUGUCUUGGCUAAGGUGUCUGGGCUAAGGUGUCUUGGCUAAUGUGUCUUGGCUAAGGUGUCUUGGCUAAUGUGUCUUGGCUAAAGUGUCUCGGCUUAUGUGUCUUGGCUAAUGUGUCUUGGCUAAUGUGUCUUGGCCAAGGUGUCUUGGCUAAGGUGUCUUGGCUAAUGUGUCUUGGCUAAGGUGUCUUGGCUAAUGUGUCUCGGCUAAGGUGUCUUGGCUAAAGUGUCUUGGCUAAUGUGUCUCGGCUAAGGUGUCUUGGCUAAGGUGUCUUGGCUAAUGUGUCUUGGCUAAGGUGUCUUGGCUAAUGUGUCUCGGCUAAGGUGUCUUGGCUAAGGUGUCUUGGCUAAGGUGUCUUGGCUAAGGUGUCUUGGCUAAUGUGUCUUGGCUAAUGUGUCUCGGCUAAGGUGUCUUGGCUAAGGUGUCUUGGCUAAUGUGUCUUGGCUAAGGUGUCUUGGCUAAUGUGUCUUGGCUAAUGUGUCUUGGCUAAUGUGUCUUGGCUAAGGUGUCUUGGCUAAGGUGUCUUGGCUAAUGUGUCUCGGCUAAGGUGUCUUGGCUAAUGUGUCUUGGCUAAGGUGUCUUGGCUAAAGUGUCUUGGCUAAUGUGUCUUGGCUAAGGUGUCUUGGCUAAGGUGUCUUGGCUAAUGUGUCUCGGCUAAGGUGUCUUGGCUAAGGUGUCUUGGCUAAAGUGUCUUGGCUAAGGUGUCUUGGCUAAGGUGUCUUGGCUAAGGUGUCUUGGCUAAUGUGUCUUGGCUAAUGUGUCUUGGCUAAGGUGUCUUGGCUAAGGUGUCUUGGCUAAUGUGUCUUGGCUAAGGUGUCUUGGCUAAGGUGUCUUGGCUAAUGUGUCUUGGCUAAGGUGUCUUGGCUAUGGUGUCUUGGCUAAUGUGUCUCGGCUAAGGUGUCUUGGCUAAUGUGUCUUGGCUAAUGUGUCUCGGCUAAGGUGUCUUGGCUAAUGUGUCUUGGCUAAGGUGUCUUGGCUAAUGUGUCUUGGCCAAGGUGUCUUGGCUAAGGUGUCUUGGCUAAGGUGUCUUGGCUAAGGUGUCUUGGCUAAUGUGUCUCGGCUAAGGUGUCUUGGCUAAUGUGUCUUGGCUAAUGUGUCUCGGCUAAGGUGUCUUGGCUA